UCGAUGAGUAGGGCGGGACACGUGGUAUCCUGUCUGAAUAUGGGGGGACCAUCCUCCAAGGCUAAAUACUCCUGACUGACCGAUAGUGAACCAGUACCGUGAGGGAAAGGCGAAAAGAACCCCGGCGAGGGGAGUGAAAAAGAACCUGAAACCGUGUACGUACAAGCAGUGGGAGCCUCUUAAUGGGGUGACUGCGUACCUUUUGUAUAAUGGGUCAGCGACUUAUAUUCUGUAGCAAGGUUAACCGAAUAGGGGAGCCGAAGGGAAACCGAGUCUUAACUGGGCGUUAAGUUGCAGGGUAUAGACCCGAAACCCGGUGAUCUAGCCAUGGGCAGGUUGAAGGUUGGGUAACACUAACUGGAGGACCGAACCGACUAAUGUUGAAAAAUUAGCGGAUGACUUGUGGCUGGGGGUGAAAGGCCAAUCAAACCGGGAGAUAGCUGGUUCUCCCCGAAAGCUAUUUAGGUAGCGCCUCGUGAAUUCAUCUCCGGGGGUAGAGCACUGUUUCGGCAAGGGGGUCAUCCCGACUUACCAACCCGAUGCAAACUGCGAAUACCGGAGAAUGUUAUCACGGGAGACACACGGCGGGUGCUAACGUCCGUCGUGAAGAGGGAAACAACCCAGACCGCCAGCUAAGGUCCCAAAGUCAUGGUUAAGUGGGAAACGAUGUGGGAAGGCCCAGACAGCCAGGAUGUUGGCUUAGAAGCAGCCAUCAUUUAAAGAAAGCGUAAUAGCUCACUGGUCGAGUCGGCCUGCGCGGAAGAUGUAACGGGGCUAAACCAUGCACCGAAGCUGCGGCAGCGACACUAUGUGUUGUUGGGUAGGGGAGCGUUCUGUAAGCCUGUGAAGGUGGCCUGUGAGGGUUGCUGGAGGUAUCAGAAGUGCGAAUGCUGACAUAAGUAACGAUAAAGCGGGUGAAAAGCCCGCUCGCCGGAAGACCAAGGGUUCCUGUCCAACGUUAAUCGGGGCAGGGUGAGUCGACCCCUAAGGCGAGGCCGAAAGGCGUAGUCGAUGGGAAACAGGUUAAUAUUCCUGUACUUGGUGUUACUGCGAAGGGGGGACGGAGAAGGCUAUGUUGGCCGGGCGACGGUUGUCCCGGUUUAAGCGUGUAGGCUGGU
rnacentral:rRNA from 1 species